GGGGCUAUAGCUCAGCUGGGAGAGCGCUUGGAUGGCAUUCAAGAGGUCAGCGGUUCGAUCCCGCUUAGCUCCACCA
rnacentral:tRNA from 1 species